rnacentral:rRNA from 1 species
UACGUAGGGGGCUAGCGUUGUCCGGAUUUAUUGGGCGUAAAGAGCGUGUAGGCGGCCAGGUAGGUCUGCUGUGAAAACUCGAGGCUCAACCUCGAGACGUCGGCGGAAACCAUCUGGCUAGAGUCCGGAAGAGGAGAGUGGAAUUCCUGGUGUAGCGGUGAAAUGCGCAGAUAUCGUGAGGAAGACCAGUGGCGAAGGCGGAUCUCUGGACAGUUCCUGACGCUGAGGCGCGAAGGCCAGGGGAGCAAACGGG